CGCCAAGCUGUGGCCGGGGCUGGGCGCGGCAGGCACAAGAGCGAGGGGAGGCGGUCUGGCUCGCGCGCUUCGGCGUGCGGUGAGCCUUGCAGCCCCCGCCCCCCGCCACCGCCGCCUUUCUGUCUCCUCUCUCCCUCCGUACUGGACUCCGGUGCAUUUCCGGCCCGGGGGAGUUCGGCGUCGACCCGGCCAGCCCGCGAGGUGGGCGUGCGCCGAGGUCUCCGUGCGCCCGAGGCCCAGCGGCCGCCAUGGCCGACGUGAGCGUGGAUCAGUCCAAGUUGCCCGGCGUGAAGGAAGUGUGUCGAGAUUUUGCUGUCCUGGAGGACCACACCCUGGCUCACAGCCUGCAGGAGCAAGAGAUUGAGCAUCAUUUAGCAUCCAACAUUCAGCGGAACCGUCUGGUCCAGCAUGAUCUGCAGGUUGCCAAGCAGCUCCAAGAGGAAGACCUCAAAGCCCAAGCUCAGCUCCAGAAGCGCUACAAAGCCCUUGAACAACAUGAUUGUGAAAUUGCUCAGGAAAUCCAGGAGAAGCUGACAAUCGAGGCUGAGAGACGACGUAUUCAGGAGAAGAAGGAUGAGGACAUAGCACGUCUUUUGCAAGAGAAGGAACUACAGGAAGAGAAAAAGAGGAAGAAACACACUCCAGAGUUUUCUGGAGGCAGUGCUUCUGGAGAUAACUACUAUUAUGAGGAUGGAGACCAGUCAAGGUCAAGGAGGGACAGGGAACUGGGUUCUGGACACUCAAAAUCUGGUAGACUCCAAAACGAUGGGAAGACUGUAAAGCAGAAGGAAAACUUGAGGCAUCGGCAGGAGAACUUGGAAGAGCUGGACGAACAGCAUCCGUCAGAGAGACCCCUGCCUUCUGUGAGCUGGGGCAGAGGGAGGGAUGAUGUCCACACUGCCUGUGAGCAGCAGGAAAGGAAGCAGCGCGGUCGGGAGAGGCCCUGGAAGUCCCCGCUGCCGAAGAUCAGUGGGGAGGUGUUUCUGACUGGCUCUGAAGACUGGGAAGCUAACUGUAGCCCUGGAACUCCGAGUUGGGAAAAGCAGUCUCGACACCAUGGCAGACUUUCACCCAAGUCUUCACAGAAAACAGGACUUCCCUGUAAGGAAAUUGUGUAUGGGAGGGACCUUGGGCAAGGUAACCACAGAGAAAGGAGACAUAGGCCCAGAACUUCUCCCUUCUCAGAGGAUAAAGAACUUCGCCACCACCAUGUUGCAGGAAUGAAAUCAAGAGGAAUAAAUGAAGCUGUCUCUGCUCCAGCUCGAGUGAGUCACAGGGACCAGGAGUGGUAUGAUGCAGAAAUUGCCCGGAAAUUGCAAGAAGAAGAACUUUUGGCUACUCAUAUGGACAUAAGAGCAGCUCAGGUUGCCCAGGAUGAGGAAAUUGCUCGACUUCUGAUGGCUGAAGAAAAAAAAGCUUACAAGAAAGCCAAAGAUCGAGAAAAGUCAUCUUUGGACAAAAGGAAACAUGACUAUGACUGCAAGUCAAAAGCAAAGUCAGCACACUCAAAGUCAAAAGAAGGUGAUGAAACACAGCGUGCCAAGAUUGACAGGCCGUCACGACCACCGCCACCCGCAGCGAUGGCCCCUGAGGAUGUGGAUCCCACCCACUUCACAAACCAGCAUAGUAAUACACGUCAUUUUUCAAAGUCAGAGUCCUCACACAAAGGCUUCCAUAAUAAGCAGUAAAACAAAACAGAACAAAACAACAAAAAGGGAUCUGCCUCGAAAAUGGACUUCUUGUAGCACAUAUUACUGGAAGAUACAACAUGCAUUCCACAUUGGCUGUUGUCCUUCUAUGUGCCAUUGCUGGGAGUUUCUCUCAAGUGUUUUCUAACUAAAAACGUAUUUCACUUCAUUUUAAAAUGUUGGUUAUGUUUGUCACUUGGGCAGUGUAAGAAAAUGUACUUCUGAAUAUUGGCCAUCUCUUCUGUGGAAAUAUGCUGGGAUGUAAUAAGUCUAGGAAAUGACAGUUGCUAGUUAGAGGAUAUUGGCAUCUAGAGAAUUGAGUUUGUUUAGCAAUUAGAAGUGUACAGAGAUUCAUUAUCCAGGCAUAACAUUUGGAUUCAGGAGGCGGAGGAAAGUGUGAAAUGGCUACAUUGCUGUUCAUUCUUAUGAGACUAUAAAGACACAGCCUUUGCUUUUAUCCUUUUCAGAAAAAGUAAAAUCACAACAAUAAAGUAUAGGGAAGCCCAGAGCAGUGGAAACCUGUGUUCCUGAAUCAGUGGAUUGGUGGCGGCUCUGGGUGGCCGUGUAACCCUGACCCAUUAGCCUACUGCUGUUUCCUCAGGAUCAAGUCUUCUCCCAUGCCCUUAGGCAAUGAUCAUGUGCUAAUUUUUAUUUGUAUAGACCUUAAUUUUCAUAUUUUCUCAGGUCCAUGAAUUAAAGAACACGUAGCCUCCAUUGCCUUUUCUAAUUUAAUUAUAGAGUGAAAGGAAUAGAACAGUUUCCACAAGACUUGAUACUGUCCGUCAGUUCACCUAGCGUGCAGAUCCAGCCUCCUGAUCCUAGGAUACAACAGUUUUGGUUCACCUCACAGUGAUGUUUUAGGCACCUGCAAUAUUAGAUUAAUUCAAUGGAAGUUGAAUUUGAUGAAGUGAGUCAUUAUCCAGGUAUAUACAUCUAUGCAGAUGGUCAUCAUAUUCUUCUCUUAAGACCUUUAAACUGCUCUAGAAAGCCUCAGUCUGUGUAUUUAUCCGUACCCCUUACUAAUCUAAAUGGCAGCUGUGCCUGCUGAACCUACAGAUGAGUGCCAUUUUCCCAGCUUGACCUGCUCUUCUCUUCAAUGUAUGGAUCUGACGUUUUCUGUCAUUUCAGUAUGCUGUUUACUUAGACAGAAAUAAGGUUGCCGAGAAAUAAUUUAAGGACUACCUGCCUUCCAUUGCCUUGUCUUUUCAAACUGUCUUAAACUUGGGGAGGAUUCUGGGAGGCUGCUCCCAACAGAUUUUGAUCUCUGAUUUUGAAAACAAUCUUCUGUCAUAAAGUGACAGCUGAUAGAAAGUUGAGUGAAAAGUGGCAGGAGUGGAGCCGUGGGAGCCACAGUAAUCUGGAAAGACACACAGGGCUGUGGCAGUGCCGUCACGGGGAGUGAAUACAUGCUGAGUGUCAGCCAUCAAGCACGUGCAGGCAGAGCCUCCAGGGAAGGAGGCAAACGGAGAGCCCAGCCUUAAGUCAGUCUACAGAAUGGUUUUAAUGUCACAGCCUAGUCUUACCAACAGUGUAAUGCUGUGUCUUUCUUUAUCUGCCCUUUGCUAAAUUUUACUUCAGUUUUAAAGGUAUUAUGAAAUGGUAACUAAAGAAAAAAUAUAAUUGCAUUUUUAUUUGAUAAUUAGGCAAAAUAGACAACAUCUUCUGCCAUAUUUUAGUUUUAUAAAUAUUUAUUUUUCUAUCUCAUGAAAUAAUCACUUUUAACUAUAAAAGCUGCAUUUUUUGUUUUGCACGAACUUCAUUUAAUCAUAUUUAUUACUGUAAAAUGGACAUGUUUUAGUUUUAAAAAAUGCCAAGUCACUUAACCAGAAUGCUGGAGUCGCCAUGGAUGGCCAAAGGCAGUGCUACCUGUAUGAUGGCCAGCUCAACAUCAGUAUUGGAAAAUUUGUUACCUUUUAGGGUUUUUUUAAGGACUACAAUUUUAAAAUAUUUUAUUUUAUUUUAUUUUUGUAAAGUGAACAGUUUUUUAAGAGUACCAGUAAUUAUUAUGAGUAAGAAGAUAGAAAAAUGUUCUUAAUUAUUCUUAAUUAAAAUUUUUGCUAUCAGUCAAAUAAUAUAUCUUUGAGAUGAUCGAAACAACCAUCAGCUCCUAAUGAACUGCCAGUCUUCACUGUGGUCUCUGCUCUUUUAGUUUUUAACUUCUAUAUCAAAAGGAAAGCAUUUAUUUUGUUCCUGUUAUUGAGAACAUGCAAUUUAAUUAUUAGGUCCACACUGUAUUGUGUUUUGUUAUCAACACAUGGACUAAUUCUUCUAGCCUUGAGAACUCUUUGGUUUAUAAACCUGUUUUCUUUGCAGGCCGAGUGCUGUUAACCCCAGUAUUACUGCAUGAGCACCGUGUGUUAAGGAGCCCAUUGCAGGCUGCCUGGCACGACGCUAAAAGAUGCCAGUAAAAGUCAGCUUAAAUAUGCCGACCUGAAAGAUGAUUAGUCCCAGCAUUCAAGCUACUAUUCAUCAUAAUUGCCUUGUUAGGAGAAUAGAAAAAAUGCUUCUUUGUUCUCAGAGAAUAUUGAGAAUUUUUGCAAGUGACUUAUUGAAAUGCUGGGGGUCACGUGACUUCCUGACAAAUGGAAGUGUUGUAAGGAGCUCAAAACUCAAACAGCCACAACCAAACUAUGUGCUCUGAUUUGGAGAAACAUUUAAAUUAGGACGAGAGAUAUGCAUAAAUGUAUACCCAAAGAAAACUCUUUUCACUGCACCUAGGCAGCCAGUGUAAGGUAUGUGACCUGUGGUCCACUGGACGCUUUAAUACUGUCAGAGCUCCCCUAAGUCUAUUUGUGCCAAAUUCAAAGCAAAGACAAAAACAUACAGUAAUGCGGUGCAUCCUGUUUACCAUAUAAAUGGUUAGCAUUUUACAGCCUUGAUUUUUAAUGAGUAAUGCCUUUGUAUAAAACUCACUUUGGGAAAUAGGAAAAUCUGUUACCCUCCUCUCAAAAGUAACUCAUGAUUGGCUGAGGUCAUCAGCCUAGUGAAGGGCUGAGGCCCAUGUAGACAUGGAUCCAAGGCCUGAGGUAGAAUAGACUUCAAGUAAUGGCUUCUUCCGUUUGGGGAGGGUGGUGUUUGUGGAAGGAGCGCUGACAUUGAAGUCACACUGAUGAGGAGAUGUUCCCCUGUAUUUCACUGUGAACGCUGUGCCAUGUUCUCAGCACACUAUUACAAAACAGCUCCUUAAACAUUCAGAGUCUGAUCUUUUAUUGAAACCAGUCUGCAGUGUGUCUGUCAUACGCUGUUCAUAGCAAAGAAGUGACCCAGUCACCCAUUCUCUCUUCCCCUCUCACAACCAGAGAAGCAGCCCUAGAGUCUCCCCACUUCCCUCCCUGUCUGUGUGCUUUAGAGCCAUAGCUGUGUCUGACAGGUACCAGGAUGCUUGCUUCUUCCUACUCUGUAAUAAGGAAUACAGGCAGGGAGAGCCCAGAGCAGAGUAUCCUGCUAAUGCUGCAUGGAGCAGUAUUAUGGGAAUAUGUGGUGGGAGUUUUCGUUUGUUUGAUGAGUUUUUAUGAUGAUGAUGAUAUGUAAGAUAAUUGAAGGGAAGAAUUGAAGGCUUUGCUGCUUCCGCUAUAACUCAUCAGAAAUGCUCACAUUUAAUUGUAGCAUCUCCAAGAAGGCAAGGAUAAGCUAAUGACAUUAGUAAUAGCCACCUUUCUGAUGAGCCCUGCACUUUAUGCCAGCAAUGUCUGAAGAUGAGUUUUGCCUUAAAUUAGUUUGAAUCCACCCGAGGCCAUUGUGUUAGGUAUAUCUGAGGUCUCGUCAGCUCUCCACUGGCAUGCAAUUCAUAAAAGAGCCUCAAGCGUCACCAUCUCCUGGGAUGAGCUUUGAGCUUCUCCCACUCUACUCUGGUUGACUUGUAACAUUAACAUUAGAAGUAUCUUCUCAGUUCCUCGAGUAGCAGAGGCGUGGCCAGAGCACUGCCAGGGGACAAUUCCCUGGCGGGCGAUAGUAUCCACGUGAUGAUAACUUCCUGUACAGGUGGGAGCUUCCUGUUCUUUUUUAUGGUGACUGCAAGAGAUGUUCUAAAGGUUCUUUGGUUCAGUGACAAUAUUCAGAUUAUUUCUAAGAAUUUUAACAAUUACCGUUACGUAUUCAAAAGCUUACCUAGCAUUAACAGACACAGGAGAAACCCCUCCUCCGAGAUGGAGGUAUUACUUGCAAUGGUGUUAUCAAGAGUGCUCUAAUUUAUUUUUUUAACAGAAUUAAGCAGUAAAAUGUGGGUAUGGUUGAGAAGAUAGAAAAACAGCUUUUCUAGGCCGUGCUUAGACAAGUAGUCAUGCAGGUAACUACACUGAUUCACCUACAUGUUUGUCACUAAAAGCCAUUUUCUGCCCUUAUAACCUCCCCCAGCAUUGCUAUUAAUAUGUAAAUCAUAUAUUUCAUAUGCCUUUGGGUAUUAUAAGUAAAAGUGAUCUUUUCUCCUUUUAAAAAGUUGCUGUAAUAGUAUGCUGACUUCAGUAUUUUAGGUCAGGGCAGGAUUAAUUAUGUAACUGUAUUGCCCAGGUCUUUAUUGGUGAGAUUCAAAUGUGAAGAUGAGAAAAAAAUUUAAAAAGGUUUGAGUAACAAAUCAGCAAGGAUUGCCAACAGUAAAGAGUAGGCAUUGCAAGGAUAUCUGGUAAUGGGGGAUAUUCUUUGGAUGUUUUGCUACACUGAGUUCACACUAUAAUUGUUGAAAUUGAGUCUAGCUAAAAGUUUGGUAAGAGUUUUGGGUGUUAGAAGUUUUAUACUUAUGUAUGAAUAGUUUCUAAAUUCCUUUAGGCUGUAGACCUUGAUGUAAUUGAAAGACAGAUGUCCUUUCCCAAGGAUAGCUGUAUUUUUCAUGGUUUUAAAUGAGGAACCAAAUAUUCAUUUCAUGAAAUAAUAUAAAUAUUAGAAAACAAUACGGAAAAUGACAUAUAAAAGUGACAUUUAAAAAUGAAAGUCUCUGUAAUGCCUGGUGUCUGCUGAGAACAAUCUAUCCCUGUGAAACGUUUGAAAGAUGUUGAAUUUGAAAGUCCAAGAGUUUGUUAUAUAAAUCAAGUUUCUCAGGACAUUUGAGGUGACAUUGUCAUGUAUUUCUGUUGUCGUUUGGAAAAGGCAUUUCUUUAGUUAGGCUAUGAGGAAACCACACACUUCAUUUUGUAAGAGUCCUUAAGUGCAGUGACGUAGAGAAGAGUAGAACAUGUGAGCUGGGAUCCCCAGUGCUCGUCAGUUCAUGGUCAACCCACUCCCCCAGUGGGGCUGUGAAGUGCAUAUUUCAUGGAGCUGAACAAAGCCUCAAUAGAAUAUCGUCUCUUAUCUGAGGAAAGACCACCUUAAACCACAUGCCUAUUUAGAGAUUGAAUAAAACUGUGAGGACACACUGUGUGGAUGCCUUAAGGUGACUGGUGUUGGUGCUGGUGCUGGUGCUGGUGGACAUGUAUGCACCCAUGAAUUAGGCUGCAGGGAACAGUCUAUUUCCAUUCAUCUUCAUAUAACCCAAGUCGUUCCUGUGCAUAACCUUGCUGAGGAAAUGAGAAACACGGUGCUGGUUACUUUGAUGUGUUUGGGGAGGCUGAUGUCAUUGGUUAAUAUUAAGGCACUAACCAGUGCCCAAGCCUUCCUUCAGUACCACUCAUACAUCUACAUCCAUUCAUUCAUCUAUGCAAGCUUGCGUUUUUGUGAUUUGUAUUUUACACCUGAACGUCAGGUUUAACAUCGUGUUUUAAAUAAUUUUAAACCAAAGUAUUGUAUAAGUCUGUGUGCUUUGUUUUUGUGAAUAGUUUGUGAUAAAUACCUAUCUUGUUUUCUCUUAAUAAAGUUAUCUGUUUAUUGAGUCA